UUUGCAAAAUUUCAUUCCAAUUUUUAACGUUAGAGGGCGCAAAAAUCCCGCCCAUUUGUGGAAAUACAAGUAGCACUAUUUAGCAAUAAUUAUAUGUAUACAUAAUUAAGAAGGGAUACAUUGGAAUGCAAGGAUGUAAGGGCUGCAAGGAUGUGAGGGGUGCAAAGAUGUAAGGGAUGCAAGGAUCUAAGGGAUGCAGAGAUAUAAGGGAUACAAUGAUAUAAGGAAUUUGUCAGUGCGAGGUGUGGUAAAAGAGGGACGUGCAGAUUUAACCUCGCAUGGGGGUAUCUGGAACUUCCAAAAUGAUGGCUCCUCAAGAACAAAGGCAUGUCCAGUCUUUUGGUAUCUGUAGUCACUGGCUCGAGACAGUGAGUGAUGGGGUAUAGUCAUUGAUAUCGAAGCCAUCUGUUAACGCACAGUAGACGUGCGUUAAACUGUUGCAAUGCGACGUGUUUCAUUAGUUUAGAUCAAAUAACGCUUGUUCUUUAAAUACAAAUGCAGCACUCCUCGAAAACAAAGGCAUGUCCAGUCUUAUUGGAUCUGUAGUCACUGGUUUGAAUAUUAACUGUGCUCUCUAGACCGGAAAACCAACACGAUUUGAACUCGGUAGCGAGCUUCGGCAAGUAUAUUAGCAGAUACCCCGUGCAAAUACUUCGCCUAAUUAUAUGUACCGUGAUCAUACGGAAAAUGAUUAAAGAAAGGAAACUUUAUUUUUGGUAUAUUCUUCCUUAAAAAUUGAUAAAAUGCACGUACUAUGUAUUGAUAGGAAAUUAUGUAGGAGAAUUGUUAGGUGUCCCAUAAACUGUAUACAUAUUAUCUGUACCUCUGCAGAUAUGUCGCAUUAUACACAUACCUUAUAUCCGAUAAUACACUGAAGAUAUAGGAUGGGCUGUGGUGGCUGAGUUUAGAUAAACCAAUGUAUUAAUUGGAAAUUAAUGCAAAACCCACGUCACGAAUAUCAAUACCUAUGAGGUAUAAGCACUAAAGAUAAACAGCUGAAGACGAAACAAAACAUUCAAAAUCUUUUUAAGAAGAAGACUGGAUACAAGAUAUUAAAUGCAAAGGUUAAUCGCAUGAAGAAUAUGCAAAUAUUGAUCCGUCAAAUUUAUAUUUUUAUUAUGAUGUAUGUAAGGAUAAAGAACGCCUGUAUGAUCGUUGAAAAUUAUGUCCGAGGCUACCCGCCAUCUUUUUAAUUGCUUAAAAAUAGAGGCUACAAUUUAUUAAUUUUCUUUCUAAAAUUAUUUUUAAAAAAUGUUCUAUUCUUUUUAGUUAUAAUGAAUCAGGAAAUUCUUAUGUUUAUUUCGUGAGAGAGUAAUUUCAUUAAAAUUUAUUGAUUAUA